rnacentral:rRNA from 1 species
UGGGGAAUAUUGCACAAUGGGCGCAAGCCUGAUGCAGCAACGCCGCGUGAGGGACGACGGCCUUCGGGUUGUAAACCUCUUUUGGCAGGGAAGAAGCGAAAGUGACGGUACCUGCAGAAAAAGCACCGGCUAACUACGUGCCAGCAGCCGCGGUGAUACGUAGGGUGCAAGCGUUGUCCGGAAUUAUUGGGCGUAAAGAGCUCGUAGGCGGUUUGUCGCGUCUGCUGUGAAAACCCGAGGCUCAACCUCGGGCCUGCAGUGGGUACGGGCAAACUAGAGUGCGGUAGGGGGCGUUGGAAUUCCUGGUGUAGCGGUGGAAUGCGCAGAUAUCAGGAGGAACACCGAUGGCGAAGGCAGAUCUCUGGGCCGUAACUGACGCUGAGGAGCGAAAGCAUGGGG